rnacentral:rRNA from 1 species
AUGAACGCUGGCGGCGUGCCUAAUACAUGCCAGUCGAGCGAACAGACGAGGAGCUUGCUCCUCUGACGUUAGCGGCGGACGGGUGAGUAACACGUGGAUAACCUACCUAUAAGACUGGGAUAACUUCGGGAAACCGGAGCUAAUACCGGAUAAUAUAUUGAACCGCAUGGUUCAAUAGUGAAAGACGGUUUUGCUGUCACUUAUAGAUGGAUCCGCGCCGCAUUAGCUAGUUGGUAAGGUAACGGCUUACCAAGGCAACGAUGCGUAGCCGACCUGAGAGGGUGAUCGGCCACACUGGAACUGAGACACGGUCCAGACUCCUACGGGAGGCAGCAGUAGGGAAUCUUCCGCAAUGGGCGAAAGCCUGACGGAGCAACGCCGCGUGAGUGAUGAAGGUCUUCGGAUCGUAAAACUCUGUUAUUAGGGAAGAACAAAUGUGUAAGUAACUAUGCACGUCUGACGGUACCUAAUCAGAAAGCCACGGCUAACUACGUG